UACAGAGGGGGCAAGCGUUGUUCGGAAUUACUGGGCGUAAAGGGCGCGUAGGCGGCCUGCUAAGUCGAACGUGAAAUCCCUGGGCUCAACCCAGGAACUGCGUCCGAUACUGGUUGGCUUGAAUCCGGGAGAGGGAUGUGGAAUUCCAGGUGUAGCGGUGAAAUGCGUAGAUAUCGGGAGGAACACCAGUGGCGAAGGCGACUUCCUGGCCUGUUCUUGACGCUGAGGCGCGAAAGCUAGGGGAGCAAACGGG
rnacentral:rRNA from 1 species